rnacentral:rRNA from 1 species
GCUGGAGGUAUCAGAAGUGCGAAUGCUGACAUGAGUAACGUUAAAGCGGGUGAAAAGCCCGCUCGCCGUAAGCCCAAGGUUUCCUGCUCUACGUUCAUCGGAGCAGGGUGAGUCGGCCCCUAAGGUGAGGCUGAGAAGCGUAACUGAUGGGAACAAGGUUAAUAUUCCUUGACCACCGCUGAAUGCGAAGGGGGGACGGAGUAUUGAAGAUCAUCCGGGUGUUGGAUAUCCCGGUUUGCGAGCGUAGGAGGCUGACAGGCAAAUCCGUCAGCGAAUCUCCGAGGCAAAGCAUCGAGCUCUCUUUUGAGCGAAGUGAUUGGAUGUGCUUCCAGGAAAAGCCUCUAAGCUCCAGUUCAGCGGGACCGUACCGCAAACCGACACUGGUGGGCGAGCUGAAUAUGCUCAGGCGCUUGAGAGAACUCAGGAGAAGGAACUCGGCAAAUUGACACCGUAACUUCGGGAUAAGGUGUGCCUUUGUAGCGUGGAGGGAGAAACACCCCGAGCGCGAAGAGGUCUCAGAUAAUCGGUGGCUGCGACUGUUUAUUAAAAACACAGCACUCUGCAAAGACGAAAGUCGACGUAUAGGGUGUGAUGCCUGCCCGGUGCUGGAAGAUUAAUUGAUGGGGUGCAAGCUCCUGAUCGAAGUCCCAGUAAACGGCGGCCGUAACUAUAACGGUCCUAAGGUAGCGAAAUUCCUUGUCGGGUAAGUUCCGACCUGCACGAAUGGCAUAACGAUGGCCACACUGUCUCCUCCUGAGACUCAGUGAAGUUGAAGUGUUUGUGAUGAUGCAAUCUCCCCGCGGCUAGACGGAAAGACCCCAUGAACCUUUACUGUAGCUUUGCAUUGGACUUUGAACCGAUCUGUGUAGGAUAGGCGGGAGCCUGUGAAACCACAACGCCAGUUGUGGCGGAGGCGUCCUUGAAAUACCGCCCUGAUUUGUUUGAGGUUCUAACCUGGGACAGUCAUCCUGUCCGGGGACCGUGCAUGGUAGGCAGUUUGACUGGGGCGGUCUCCUCCUAAAGGGUAACGGAGGAGUGCGAAGGUACGCUAGGUACGGUCGGAAAUCGUGCUGAUAGUGCAAUGGCAAAAGCGUGCUUGACUGCGAGACCCACAAGUCGAGCAGAUACGAAAGUAGGUCAUAGUGAUCCGGUGGCUCUGUAUGGAAGGGCCAUCGCUCAACGGAUAAAAGGUACUCUGGGGAUAACAGGCUGAUACCGCCCAAGAGUUCAUAUCGACGGCGGUGUUUGGCACCUCGAUGUCGGCUCAUC